UCUUACGACCAUGCUACCCUGAACAAGCCCGAUCCUGUCUGAUCUCGGAAGCUAAGCAGGGUCGGGCCUGGUUAGUACUUGGAUAGGAGACCACCUAGAAAGACCAGGUGCUGUAGAAA
rnacentral:rRNA from 1 species